UUGCUUUAGCAGAAUCUGUCAUUCAGCUUUUAGAACACUUUUCUCUUUUACUGCCAGAAUAAGGAACACAAUGUCUCUGAGAAAUGCAGAAAAAAAGCAAAAGAGCGAGCAACCACAAGUCCAGAUUAUCAGGCUGUCCCUGACGGUCAGGAAUUUUGGGUUCUGUUCCUCCAAAAUGUCUGCAGUGAAAAAAAACAACACAUUUUUGAGUUCUAAUCAAAUUAACACACAUAAAUUCAUUUCCAACUCUAGUCGUGAAGCUUUUAUUGACCAAAGUCACAUCUGCAGGAUCUCAGUUACACAUUAUCCCACGAGAGCACUUUGCUCUCAGCCUGCAGGCUUUCCUGUGAUUCCGAGAGUUUUAAACAGCAAAAUUGGAGGCAGAGCCUACAGCUAUCAGCCUCCUCCCUUGUGAAACCAGCAUUGUUUCUGGAGGCAGACAUUCUUCACCUAGAUGGAUGGCCUGAAGUUUGGCGACGCGAGUGAUCCAGUGGUGACAGAUAAGAACCUGCCCUGCACGUCAGAAUCCCAGAUAACAGAACAACAGGAAGUGUCAUCUGCUGGGGUCGUGUUCCACUCAUGCAUAAGUGCACAAACACACACAAACACACACAAGUCUCAAACCUCCCCUGCAACAAAGAGCAGGAUGUUCAGGCUUUUUCGCCUGUACUCCUUCCUAACCUUCCCGGACGUUUUUAUUCAUCUCAUUCCAGUUUUCUGAGGUUUGAAGAAACAAAAAGCUUUUUCCACCAUCGCCACUUUGAGGAAGACCAUCAACACAGAGAUCACAGACUCACGUCAACAACAACAAAGUGUCACAAAGCCUCAGAAAAGACGCUCGCUUCCUGCAUCAGCAGUUCAAUGAAUGACCCUCUUUCAAGACCACCUGUUUUCUCGGUUCUGUCACACUGCGAUAGCAAAAGUGCCGAAACAAAAGCGCUGAUCUCCCUUCUCGGGGUUUUGACCUCUGUGUCAUCUGCAGGCGGCCUCAGAAAGGCCACAACCACGGAGGUGGCUCCCAAAGUAUCGGCAGGAGCAUCUGUCUGCUGGCCUGAAUGGUCCCUGUUGUGUUUUUUUGUGAUCCAGAUGUCAUGAAUCAUCUGCGUGGGUGUUUUCUUUACAGAUCAAUAUCUAAAAAUGAUUUGUAUUGGAGUUGCUUGAAGACCCAUAAUAAACUGGAUCCUGUGUCACUGAA